rnacentral:lncRNA from 1 species
AGAACAUGGUGGCUUCAAACAAUAGAAAUUGGUUUUGUGGUUCUGGAGCCCAAGAUUCCAGAGGGACGCUUCCUUGCCCUGUCAUUUCCUGGUGGCCUCUGACAUUCCCCUGCCUGUGGCCCGUACAACUCAGGCUCCGCCUCCGUCUCCCGGGCUUCUCCCCGGGGGUCCCUGGGUGUCUCCUCUCUGUCUAGGACAAGGAUGCUCAUCACUGGACACAGAGCCCCCCGAUCCAGAUGCCCUCGGGUCAAGAUUCUUGCCCAUGUGAAGACCCCGACUUGGAUACGGUGGCGCCCUGAGGCUCCGGGUGGACAUCACUGCUGGCCGCAGACGGGACUGACCCCACAGCCGACUGACACAGGAAGCAAGGUCCUCUGGAAUAGGACAAGGACAGUGAGCACUCGGUAACUCAUCAGGACCCUGGGUCCGGCCACUUGUGCCUCUGGCUUCUUUCCGUUUGGUGACACUGAGUUUGUAUCAAACACAGAUUCGUAAUUUUCAAGGGAAAGAGAAGAGACUUGACCGGCCUCCUCGGGAUUCCUCCCCUCCCCCUUGGCCAUCAUGCCCACCUGGAAGGGCCACUCGGCAGGAAUCUGACCCCCUCCGCACUCUUGUCCCACGCGGAGGCCAUGAUGGUGGCAUCUGGUCUGGAGCCGAGGAGAGGAGAAGGGAAAUACGGACGCCGGCCCUGGGCAGGGUGUGCAGCCCACCACACAGCCAACUCGCAGGAAGCACAAAGGGAAAUGGGAAAAUGAGAGGGAGACUUGUACCAGCCCGGCCCAUUUAGUCAGUUGAAAAAAAGUGGAUUAUGGAGAAUCCUGGGGCAGACUC